rnacentral:tRNA from 1 species
AGCAAUUUGGCGCAGUGGAAGCGCGGUAUGUUUCUCUACAACAUGCAUCAGUUGGCCAAUGAUACUAACAGACACAGCCGGGCUCAUAACCCGGAGGUCGCACGAUCGAAACGUGCAAUUGCUA